UCGCAACGCAAUAGCGUCCGCAUAGACUUCGGUCAUGACGGUAUGGCGGGCUGCGCCGUCCACGUUUCUCUUUACUUGCAAGAAGACAAAAAAACUCGCGUCGACCCAGUUUAGGCUGGGCCGGUUCCCCGAAUGGGCCCGUAGCUCAGUUGGUUAGAGCACACGCAUGAUAAGCGUGGG
rnacentral:misc_RNA from 1 species